CAUCAUCUCCGCCGAUCCACAAGGGGUCCGCGAAACAUCGAUGGUUGAGAACCACUGCUCUAGUCUAUUAAAUAGGUGCGUGGUUCUCUGCACCUUGCACCCUUCUUAGAGGGAAAAGUGGCUCCCAGUCGCACGAAACAGAGCAAUAACAGGUCUGUGAUGCCCUUAGAUGUCCGGGGCCGCACGCGCGCUACACUGAAGGAAACAGCGUGUCUUUAUUUUUGUCUGUUAAAACAAUAAGCUUAGAAAAAAGUGACUUCAGCAAAUACAGAGGGAAUUGAAGUCCAUCUGAUUACCCCCGAGCAAG
rnacentral:ncRNA from 1 species